CUAUAUGUACAAUAUUCAAAGUCAGUUUUAUUGUCAGUUUUUGCCAUAUGUGCAUCGCAUACAGGAAACUGAAAUUACAAGACUCUAAGCCCCAUGGUGCAAAGUGAACAAAGUAGAAAAACAAAAGCAAAAAGUAUCAAAAAAUAGAAUAUAA